rnacentral:rRNA from 1 species
GACGAACGCUGGCGGCGUGCUUAACACAUGCAAGUCGAGCGGUAAGGCCCUUUCGGGGGUACACGAGCGGCGAACGGGUGAGUAACACGUGGGUGACCUGCCCUCAGCUCUGGGAUAAGCCCGGGAAACUGGGUCUAAUACCGGAUAUGACUCCAUGACGCAUGUUGUGGGGUGGAAAGCCUUGUGCGGCUGAGGAUGGGCCCGCGGCCUAUCAGCUUGUUGGUGGGGUGANGGCCUACCAAGGCGACGACGGGUAGCCGGCCUGAGAGGGCGACCGGCCACACUGGGACUGAGACACGGCCCAGACUCCUACGGGAGGCAGCAGUGGGGAAUCUUGCGCAA